GACCUAACAUGUCUAAUUAUCCUUGAUGUAAUAUUAAGUUUUUCUGCAUUAACUGUUGGGGCCUAACAUGCCUAAUUACCCUUGUCAAAUACAUGGUUUAAAAAAUAUUCCAUAACCCUUAUGCAUCGCCAUUGUCGCUGCUUCGUCAGAAACCUCCGAUCCACCGCAUGAGGCUAAGAGCGAUUUCUCCAUUGGAAUUUGUUUGGUUAUGUGAGGGAGAGUGAUUUCUCUGAUGUGGUGCAGAAACACGAACAAGAAGAAGCUAAGCUUGUGCAAACAACAGACGAUGUACGAGGGUGAUGAUGCCGAGUGCCAGUGGUGAGGACAAGGAUUGUGUAAAUCGCAAAAAGGAAAGGAAGACUAGAGAAGCGAAGGAAUAUG
rnacentral:lncRNA from 1 species